CAUUGGGCAACGGCCCACCCCCGUCUUUCGGGAUCGUCGCCCAGGUCCCGUGAUUUCAGGAUUCCCGCAGGGUGGAGCCAGGCUGAGGAAAGCUGCAGGGGAGCUUCAGGGAUGCCCAGGGCGAUCCCCAAGGAUCCCCAGGAUACUUCAGGCCUGCUCAGACGCUGUGGGAAAUGCGUCUCCUUGAACGCUGUCCCUGCUGGGAAUUCCAGGGACAAAUUAAAUGAUCUGCAGUUUGCCAUGGGAUGAAAUCACACUUGGCUUGCUAUGAGGAAGAAUUGAAAUGACAAUAAGGGAAGAAAACAUUAACAGAUUACUAGUAUCAUGUCAUUGUGAUCAGAAUGAUUUGGUACCUACUCUCACUUGGGAAUGAUCCUUGAUCUCAGCUGUCCAAGUAAUUCUGGGGAGCAGUGCCUGCUUUCUCUUCCAGUCUCUAAGGAAAAGUGGUCUGCAUGUGGGAAUGGUGACAUCUACACAGAGGCUGUGAUGUGAUUGGUGGAGUUUUCUAACAUAUUGACUGCAAAUAUCCAGCUCUUGGAUGGCAGGAAAGAGUUCCUAGAGAGAGAAGACAAAGAGCGUUUGUGCUGCAAAAGAAACCCCAGGCUGAAGACUGGAGAUCUGAAUGUGCAAACUGCAAGGGAACUGGAG